rnacentral:rRNA from 1 species
GACGAACCGUCCGAACGUUAUUCGGAAUUACUGGGCUUAAAGGGUGCGUAGGCGGCGCAGUAAGUAGGGUGUGAAAUCCCUCGGCUCAACCGAGGAACUGCGCCCUAAACUACUGUGCUCGAGGGAGAUAGAGGUGAGCGGAACUUAGGGUGGAGCGGUGAAAUGCGUUGAUAUCCUAAGGAACACCGGUGGCGAAAGCGGCUCACUGGAUCUCUUCUGACGCUGAGGCACGAAAGCUAGGGUAGCAAACGGG